rnacentral:tmRNA from 1 species
GGGGGUGCACUGGUUUCGACUGGUACGGUUCGGGGUGCAGGCUGCAGGUGGAGUGCAGACCUCCUGAUUCUGCAAACAAUUAACUGCCAACUACGACAGUUACGCUCUCGCUGCUUAAUCAGCGGAACGCGGGAACCGGCUCCGCCGCCUUGAGGGGCCGAAUUUCCGUCGCAAUCAAGGCUGGUCGUUCCCGGGUUCCGGACCGGGAUACGAUGAGAUUUUCCCGGAAUACGGACAGGCCGCAGGCCGCGCAGCAAAACCUGUCCCGACAAUCAUAAAACGCGGAUAAACCUGUAGACGUUUGUAUUUCGCGUAUUAGGACGCGGGUUCGAUUCCCGCCACCUCCAACG